CCUACGGGGUGCAGCAGUGAGGAAUAUUGGUCAAUGGGCGCGAGCCUGAACCAGCCAAGUAGCGUGAAGGAUGACUGCCCUACGGGUUGUAAACUUCUUUUAUAAAGGAAUAAAGUGAGGCGCGUGUGCCUUUUUGUAUGUACUUUAUGAAUAAGGAUCGGCUAACUCAGUGCCAGCAGCCGCGGUAAUACGGAGGAUCCGAGCGUUAUCCGGAUUUAUUGGGUUUAAAGGGAGCGUAGAUGGGUUGUUAAGUCAGUUGUGAAAGUUUGCGGCUCAACCGUAAAAUUGCAAUUGAUACUGGCAGCCUUGAGUACAGUUGAGGGAGGCGGAAUUCGUGGUGUAGCGGUGAAAUGCGUAGAGAUCACGAAGAACUCCGAUUGCGAAGGCAGCUUACUAAACUGCCACUGACAUUGAUGCUCGAAAGUGUGGGUAUCAAACAGGAUUAGAUACCCUUGUAGUC
rnacentral:rRNA from 1 species